AAGGUAUUGAAAUAAGAUUUUAAAUGAGUGCUAAGAGAAUGAUUAAACAAUUAAAAGCUUUCUUUAAUUGAAUAAUUGAAUUUAAUUUUUUAGUGCAAAAGCAAAAAUAAAAAUUAGGGACAAGAAGACCCUAUGAAUUUUUUAUUAAAUUUUAUAAAACUUUAUAUAAAAUUUAAUUUAAUUGGGGUGAUGGAAAAAGAAUAAAUAUCUUUUUUUUAAAAAAAAUUGGUUCCGUUUUUAGCGAUUAAAUGAAAAAAAUACUCUAGGGAUAACAGCGUA
rnacentral:rRNA from 1 species